rnacentral:ribozyme from 14 species
AAAAGCAAAAAACCGAAAUAAAUCCUAUACAUUUAAAUGUGGCUGUUCAGAACUUCAUCCUUUCAUAUUUUCUUUUCUUUCAUUUUUCUCCCUCU